GUGUCAGCCGCCGCGGUAAUACGGAGGGGGCUAGCGUUGUUCGGAAUUACUGGGCGUAAAGCGCACGUAGGCGGACCGGAAAGUCAGAGGUGAAAUCCCAGGGCUCAACCUUGGAACUGCCUUUGAAACUAUCGGUCUGGAGUUCGAGAGAGGUGAGUGGAAUUCCGAGUGUAGAGGUGAAAUUCGUAGAUAUUCGGAGGAACACCAGUGGCGAAGGCGGUUCACUGGCUCGAUACUGACGCUGAGGUGCGAAAGCGUGGGGAGCAAACAGG
rnacentral:rRNA from 1 species